CGGAUGUCCACCUGGAGAUAGUGUACACCUAGAUGGCGCUGGUGACGUCCUUCACCUGCUACUAGAAUAAUCAGCUACAGUUUAAACAGCAUCCAUAACAGACACUUUCACAACAAACUGAAAUGUGCAAAACAACGGAAGCAACAACAGUAAUAUCAUCAAUCAACCAAUGGGAAACGAAUAUAAUCUUCAUUUGACUGUGGCCAUGCUGGAGCACCGCCUUCUUAGUCAGACAAUUUCUGCGACCACAUCACCCCUAACAUCUGGCCAGCUAACUCCCCAGACUGCAACCCCUUGAUUAUUAUGUAUGGGGCGCAGUUGAGCGAGAGAUCACCAAAACUCCUUGUAACACCAAAGAUGAACUAAAGGCAAGGAUAAUAGCAGCAUUCACCAACUUAAACAAGGAAACCGACCAGAAGAGUUGCAGCAGAUUCCGAAGUAGUCUGGAGGCCGCGACUGAAGCCAAUGUUGAUUAUAUUGAAUAAAUUUACUCUUUAGAAUUUCACGAUAUUUUUAUGUA